CACAGUGUUGCCAGUGCCAGUGCAGAGUCCACAUGACACCAACAUAACAGAAUUCAAUGUCCAAAGAACAAGGCGCUCUCCCUCCGCUGAUACAAUAGACUCUGUUUUGCCUCCAACGUUUCUGCCUGCUUCUCGUCUUUCUUCUCUCAGGGAUCUGGUGUCAGACAAGAAAAUCACAGUUCGUCUAGGUCUCCAUGUCUUUCUUAGUGGUCCAAUUGAGCUUCUUGACCCUCAGCUCCUUCUUUCCCUGAACAAAGAGUCAGGAAUCUACAACAUUGGAGGGAAGGCAGGACUCUUUUCGAUGAGAAUUGUGGGAAUAAAGAGAGUGACCUGCACACCCUGAUUUCAUCAUCUACAGUCCACCCCAAUCUCUUGGAUCAUUUGAGAAAUUCCUUUUGAAAAAAUCUUCAUUCUUGAAGCCCAUGUUACUGCUGUUUUAUGAUCUUGAUUAAUGGCAGUUUAUUGCAAAUCCCUGUUUUUGUGUUUAGUUAUCAAUUAAAGUUGAACUUCCUUAGCUUAAAACAAGCCCAUUUUUCGUGCAUGUGGUCUUGGCAGUCCCGCCCACCAAACUGACCAGCCAAUAGAAAUCGACGCUGUAUCUUUAUCACCCCCCACCCUCCCUACUAGUGUUCCUGAUGACAGGAUAGGGAUUUAGUAGUGAAUGACUUGACGGCUCAUUGUAAAUCAAACGGAUUCGUGCAGACGUAAUUGCGCGAGAAUGGAAGACGCAGCUUUAGAAGAUACGCUGCCCGAAGAAGAGAGGGACUUUCAGAAGAGUAUAGCUUUGAUCGGUGGUAAAGAGAGGAUUUAUUUGGUGAGUGAUGCGUGUAAA